AGACCGAUAGCAAACAAGUACCGUGAGGGAAGAUUGAAAAGAACUUUGAAGAGAGAGUUCAAUAGUACGUGAAACUGUGUGGUGGUAAACGGAGGGGUUCUCGAAGUCUCUGCGGGGAACUCAACCUUGGUGUCCGGCAGUCAGGGUGCGUCCGAUCAGCAAUGACGGUGCUCUCUGUCCGGCCUGGCUCUCGGGUGCAUUUCCCCCGCAGUUUACGGCAGGAACCGUUUGGUGCGGACCGAAGGCCUCGGGUGAAGUUGUCGGUUCUGCUGGCAGCCCUGUGUGUCCUGGCUCCGCGCUCGACGGGUACGUGAGAGGACUCGUAUAGCGAGCAACGCUCUGUUGCGGUUCUCAUCUCUCUGCCGAGUAGGUCGGCGGCCCCUCCGACCCGUCUUGAAACACGGAC
rnacentral:rRNA from 1 species